rnacentral:rRNA from 1 species
AUUGAACGCUGGCGGCAGGCCUAACACAUGCAAGUCGAACGAGUGGCGGAAGGGUGAGUAAUGUAUCGGAAACGGACUGAUGGAGGGGGAUAACUACUGGAAACUGUAGCUAAUACCGCAUACCAUCAGAUGUGCCCAGAUGGGAUGAGCUUGUUGGUGGGGUAACGGCUCACAAGGGCGACGAUCCCUAGCUGGUCUGAGAGGAUGACCAGCCACACUGGAACUGAGACACGGUCCAGACUCCUACGGGAGGCAGCAGUGGGGAAUAUUGUACAAUGGGCGCAAGCCUGAUGCAGCCAUGCCGCGUGUAUGAAGAAGGCCUUCGGGUUGUAAAGUACUUUCAGCGGGGAGGCGUUACCCGCAGAAGAAGCACCGGCUAACUUCGUGCCACCAGCCGCGGUAAUAC